UAGAGUUGGGUGUAAUAGGUAGCACGGAGAAAUUUGAAUUCUCAAGAGUAGGUUCAAUACCUAUAAUUCUAG
rnacentral:tRNA from 1 species